rnacentral:rRNA from 1 species
UGGUGGAGUGAUUUGUCUGCUUAAUUGCGAUAACGAACGAGACCUUUUCCUGCUAAAUAGACUCAGUCAGCUUUGCUGGCUGCAGCCUUCUUAGAGGGACUUUUGACGUUUAGUCAUAGGAAGCUUGAGGCUAUAACA